GCAUCUAUGCACGUAACUACGUAGUACGUACAUACGUACGGUAUACAUACAUGUAUGUAUACACACGUUUCUAGGGAUCGAUCAAGUCCACUGAUAUUCGGAGUCGCCUGAUGCUGCUCUACCACUGCUGACCGUGGCCGGCGAAGGUGCCACGUUGCGAGGGCUCCAUCGACGCUUGUUUUGUAUACCGGCAAUAAUAAUUGGCGACACGGGCGUUGGGCUGGGUUCGGGUUUCUCCUGAACUCCGAGUCGGUAAUGAUAUCCGGCACGGGGUUCACAGGUAGGCCGACCAUUGACCUCAGUCACGGGGACGGGGCCCGCGUCGAGCUGGCUGAAUGCCUAUGCAACGGAAUAGUAGAAGAGUGCUGCUGACUCCAGGCCGAACGAACCGACUAAGCUGACGCACAUUCCAAACCAUCUCCGUUCGCGCCGCCGAUCCGAACGGCUAACCGAAGGUGCAUUUCGAAUCCUACAACUCCGAGUUGACUCCCAGGGGUCCCACAAUCUGACAGAGAUAGUAGGACAACAAUAACAUCGCUGCGAUGAAUGGGAACACUAUAGGAAUAACAGGAAAAAGAUUGACACCAGCAAUAAUCACGAUCAUACGAAUAUCGCUGUUAAUACCACUAUGAUAAUAUUAGUGUUGUACCAAAAAUAGUCACGACAAUGAUACGAAGACGAGAGGAGCUUCUUUUUCGCUUUGUUUAUUCAAUAUGAUUUUUCUUAUAAAUUGAUAUCC